GUUCAACCUUUUCAUAUUUGUUCUCUCUCUCUUUUUUCUCUUUAUAAAAGCUAAUUAAUCAUAAGAUGCAAGAAUGUACAAAGUAGAAAUUGUUCACUUUACUUUACUUUAAGUAUAAUCUAAGCUUAGCAUCUAAAAGCCAAAAUACUAGACAAUAAAGCUUAAUUAAUUAUGAUCAUGAUGAGAACUCCAUGCACGUUUUCAUGCAAAAAGGUAAAGCUAGCAGCUACCUCAGAUCAUAAUAUUAUUUCAAGCUUUGGAAAUGUCAAAAAGUAUCAAAAGACAAACCUGAUGAUGAUGAUGUAUACUGAUUAAAACUUCGCGAUGCAUCGAAGUUCAAAUCAGUAGUAUUAUGGUCACUACGAAGUAGCUCAGCAUAUUGAUGAACAUCAGGGUAGUAAGACUGAAAAUUAUAAGGGGAAAGAUGAUUAUUUGAUGAGGUGGCUGCUGGAAAUUGUACUUGUUGAUGAGGAACAAUAAUAUUAUGAUUUUGAGUAGUAGCAGUAUCAGUAAGGAAUUGGAAUUUUCCUUGAACUCUUUCAGGGAAAUUGAGUUUAGCUUUGUUGCCUUUGAAUGUAAGAGCAGCUUCAUCAUAAGCAAGUGCUGCUGCUUCUGCAGUUUCAAAUGUACCUAGCCAAACUCUGGCUGCUUUCUUUGGAUCGCGGAUUUCCGCGGCCCAUUUACCCCAUGGUCUUUGUCGAACUCCUCUAUACUUCCUUCUUCCCGAACUCCCUACACAUAUAAAAAGAAAGAAAGUAUACGCUGACAGUAUAAAAGAAUUUUUAUGUCAUCUAGUUAAACGUAACUAAAAUGUUAUCGUCUAGAGAAAUUGAAUAAAUAGCCUUGCUAAACAAGGAAAUAAAAAGCACAAUGAAACAUCUACUCUUUUCAUAAAAUCAUGGAUGAUCAGCUAAUUGUUAAUUAUGAUCGAUCAUCUUGAGGAAAACCCCUUAUCGUUUGUCGAUGAAGAUGAUAAAUAACUUGCAGAAUGUUGAAAGAGAUAUAUAAAGACAAAGUAAAUAUAAGUGUGUUCUAUCAUCAAACAACUUGGGCUUUUUCUUUUAAAAGAAAUGGUUAAUUCACAGAGUUCACACUUUAACAUGAUAUCAUAGAGGGAGAUCGAGCUACUAGGACCGACUCUCAUCAUCACUCAUUAUCAAAGACGAGAAUUUUCAGGUGGUUACCGCUCAUAAAAAACAAUUAAGUCUACACGUGAGGGACAAUCAUAAAUCAACUAAAUGAUAAUGUAAUUUCUCUAACAAUCUAAGUUUUUAGAUGAUAUGGUACACAUAGAUACUUCAUGAACACAGAAAUAAGCUUCUUUUUUUUGUGUGUGUCAAGGAAAAUGAGCUGAAAGAAAGAAACUUUUUUUCUCUUAAUUAGUUAUACAUGAAAGAUACUACAGUAAUCAAUUUGAUGUUAGUCAGUAAUAUAUAUAAUAGUACUUACCUUGAUUAUCUUGAAUAGAUGAUUGAGAAUGGUUUUGCAGCUGAGGAAUUAGGGUUAGUGGAUUAACAUCGAUGGAAGAAUCAGCAGAAGCAGAAGAAGUGUUUCCAAUAACUUGAGAGAGCACAGAAACCAUAGCAGACAUGUCUUGAUGAGAUCUAGCUGAUGAGUAUACUGGAAAAUUAUUACUACUAUUAUGAUUAUCCUCUUUCGACCUUCUUUCCAUUUCUUCAAUCUAACAAAACAUCAUCUAUAUUACAAAUUAGUAGUAAAUGAUGAUAUGAAUGGGUCCAGAGGAAGAAUUUCUAAUAUAGCAAUUAAUAUUGAGGUGAUGAGAACAAGGAGUAGCUAGGAAGGAGAAAGAGGAAGAUAUUAGGGUUUACUACUCUUUGCUUUUUUAUGUACGAAUUAAUGUGAAUACAUACAUACUAGCUUUGAAAUACCAAUGUCGAAAAAAAUGAAAUACUCUAUAUAUACGGUCCUUACUUUA